UACGUAGGGGGCAAGCGUUGUCCGGAUUUAUUGGGCGUAAAGAGCGUGUAGGCGGCCAGGUAGGUCCGUUGUGAAAACUGGAGGCUUAACCUCCAGCUGUCGAUGGAAACCAUCUGGCUAGAGUCCGGAAGAGGAGAGUGGAAUUCCUGGUGUAGCGGUGAAAUGCGCAGAUAUCAGGAAGAACACCCGUGGCUAAGGCGGCUCUCUAGUACGGUACUGACGCUGAGACGCGAAAGCGUGGGGAGCGAACAGG
rnacentral:rRNA from 1 species